rnacentral:rRNA from 1 species
CACUAUUGGAGCGGCCGAUAUCGGAUUAGCUAGUUGGUGGGGUAACGGCUCACCAAGGCGACAAUCCGUAGCUGGUUUGAGAGGACGACCAGCCACACUGGGACUGAGACACGGCCCAAACUCCUACGGGAGGCAGCAGGGGGGAAUUUUGGACAAUGGGGGCAACCCUGAUCCAGCCAUCCCGCGUGUGCGAUGAAGGCCUUCGGGUUGUAAAGCACUUUUG